rnacentral:rRNA from 1 species
GACGAACGCUGGCGGCGUGCUUAACACAUGCAAGUCGAACGGUGAAGCCCAGCUUGCUGGGCGGAUCAGUGGCGAACGGGUGAGUAACACGUGAGCAACCUGCCCUUCACUUCGGGAUAAGCCUUGGAAACGGGGUCUAAUACCGGAUAGGAGCACCUGCUGCAUGGUGGGUGUUGGAAAGUUUUUCGGUGAGGGAUGGGCUCGCGGCCUAUCAGCUUGUUGGUGGGGUAACGGCCUACCAAGGCGUCGACGGGUAGCCGGCCUGAGAGGGCGACCGGCCACACUGGGACUGAGACACGGCCCAGACUCCUACGGGAGGCAGCAGUGGGGAAUAUUGCACAAUGGGCGAAAGCCUGAUGCAGCGACGCCGCGUGAGGGAUGACGGCCUUCGGGUUGUAAACCUCUUUCAGCAGGGAAGAAGCGCAAGUGACGGUACCUGCAGAAGAAGCGCCGGCUAACUACGUGCCAGCAGCCGCGGUAAUACGUAGGGCGCAAGCGUUGUCCGGAAUUAUUGGGCGUAAAGAGCUCGUAGGCGGUCUGUCGCGUCUGGUGUGAAAUCCCAUGGCUCAACUAUGGGCUUGCAUCGGGUACGGGCAGACUAGAGUGCUGUAGGGGAGACUGGAAUUCCUGGUGUAGCGGUGGAAUGCGCAGAUAUCAGGAGGAACACCGAUGGGCGAAGGCAGGUCUCUGGGGCAGUCACUGACGCUGAGGAGCGAAAGCAUGGGGAGCGAACAGGAUUAGAUACCCUGGUAGUCCAUGCCGUAAACGUUGGGCACUAGGUGUGGGGCCAGUUCCACUGGUUCUGUGCCGUAGCUAACGCAUUAAGUGCCCCGCCUGGGGAGUACGGCCGCAAGGCUAAAACUCAAAGGAAUUGACGGGGGCCCGCACAAGCGGCGGAGCAUGCGGAUUAAUUCGAUGCAACGCGAAGAACCUUACCAAGGCUUGACAUGUACGAGAAAGCCCCAGAGAUGGGGUUCUCUUUGGACACUCGUACACAGGUGGUGCAUGGUUGUCGUCAGCUCGUGUCGUGAGAUGUUGGGUUAAGUCCCGCAACGAGCGCAACCCUUGUCCCAUGUUGCCAGCGGGUUAUGCCGGGGACUCAUGGGAGACUGCCGGGGUCAACUCGGAGGAAGGUGGGGAUGACGUCAAAUCAUCAUGCCCCUUAUGUCUUGGGCUUCACGCAUGCUACAAUGGCCGGUACAGAGGGCUGCGAUACCGUGAGGUGGAGCGAAUCCCAAAAAGCCGGUCUCAGUUCGGAUCGGGGUCUGCAACUCGACCCCGUGAAGUCGGAGUCGCUAGUAAUCGCAGAUCAGCAACGCUGCGGUGAAUACGUUCCCGGGCCUUGUACACACCGCC